AUGACGUGUGCGGGAGAGCCCCGGCAUCCGCUUCUCGCGAAGCGAUGACGGGCACCGAAGGAGCAAGCCUCCCCGCCAAUCUCUCAGGUCCGCGUACCGUGCUCGUCCG
rnacentral:ncRNA from 2 species